AGAGUUUGAUCCUGGCUCAGGAUGAACGCUGGCGGCGUGCUUAACACAUGCAAGUCGAACGGUGAACACGGAGCUUGCUCUGUGGGAUCAGUGGCGAACGGGUGAGUAACACGUGAGCAACCUGCCCCUGACUCUGGGAUAAGCGCUGGAAACGGCGUCUAAUACUGGAUAUGUGACGUGAUCGCAUGGUCUGCGUCUGGAAAGAAUUUCGGUUGGGGAUGGGCUCGCGGCCUAUCAGCUUGUUGGUGAGGUAAUGGCUCACCAAGGCGUCGACGGGUAGCCGGCCUGAGAGGGUGACCGGCCACACUGGGACUGAGACACGGCCCAGACUCCUACGGGAGGCAGCAGUGGGGAAUAUUGCACAAUGGGCGCAAGCCUGAUGCAGCAACGCCGCGUGAGGGACGACGGCCUUCGGGUUGUAAACCUCUUUUAGCAGGGAAGAAGUGAAAGUGACGGUACCUGCAGAAAAAGCGCCGGCUAACUACGUGCCAGCAGCCGCGGUAAUACGUAGGGCGCAAGCGUUAUCCGGAAUUAUUGGGCGUAAAGAGCUCGUAGGCGGUUUGUCGCGUCUGCUGUGAAAUCCGGAGGCUCAACCUCCGGCCUGCAGUGGGUACGGGCAGACUAGAGUGCGGUAGGGGAGAUUGGAAUUCCUGGUGUAGCGGUGGAAUGCGCAGAUAUCAGGAGGAACACCGAUGGCGAAGGCAGAUCUCUGGGCCGUAACUGACGCUGAGGAGCGAAAGGGUGGGGAGCAAACAGGCUUAGAUACCCUGGUAGUCCAA
rnacentral:rRNA from 1 species